rnacentral:tRNA from 1 species
UCUCUGUUAGUAUAUCGGUUAGUACACGCGCCUGUCAUUCAUCUGGCCGCGCGAAAGCGGGGUUCGACUCCCCGACAGAGAG